rnacentral:rRNA from 1 species
CGCGCAGGCGGUUCGUUAAGUCCGAGGUGAAAUCUCCCGGCUCAACUGGGAGGGGUCUUUGGAUACUGGCGGACUUGAGGAGAGCAGAGGUGAGUGGAAUUCUGGGUGUAGUGGUGAAAUGCGUAGAUAUCCAGAGGAACACCAGCGGCGAAGGCGGCUCACUGGGCUCCACCUGACGCUGAGGCGCGAAAGCGUGGGGAGCGAACCGGAUUAGAUACCCGGGUAGUCCACGCUGUAAACGAUGGGCACUAGGUGUGAGGGGUAUUGACCCCCUUCGUGCCGAAGCUAACGCUAUAAGUGCCCCGCCUGGGGAGUACGGCCGCAAGGCUAAA